GACGAACGCUGGCGGCGUGCCUAAUGCAUGCAAGUCGAACGCUGAAGGAGGAGCUUGCUUCUCUGGAUGAGUUGCGAACGGGUGAGUAACGCGUAGGUAACCUGCCUGGUAGCGGGGGAUAACUCUUGGAAACGCUAGCUAAUACCGCAUAAUAGUAGAUGUUGCAUGACAUUUGCUUAAAAGGUGCAAUUGCAUCACUACCAGAUGGACCUGCGUUGGAUUAGCUAGUUGGUGGGGUAACGGCUCACCAAGGGGACGAUAGAUAGUCGACCUGGGAGGGGGGACGGCCAACCUGGGACUGGGACAAGGCCCAGACUCCUACGGGAGGCAGCAGUAGGGAAUCUUCGGCAAUGGACGGAAGUCUGACCGGGCAACGCCGCGUGAGUGAAGAAGGUUUUCGGAUCGUAAAGCUCUGUUGUAAGAGAAGAACGAGUGUGAGAGUGGAAAGUUCACACUGUGACGGUAUCCUACCAGAAAGGGACGGCUAACUACGUG
rnacentral:rRNA from 1 species